rnacentral:rRNA from 1 species
UGCUAAUACAUGCAAGUCGAACGCUUUGUGGUUCAACUGAUUUGAAGAGCUUGCUCAGAUAUGACGAUGGACAUUGCAAAGAGUGGCGAACGGGUGAGUAACACGUGGGAAACCUACCUCUUAGCAGGGGAUAACAUUUGGAAACAGAUGCUAAUACCGUAUAACAAUGACAACCGCAUGGUUGUUAUUUAAAAGAUGGUUCUGCUAUCACUAAGAGAUGGUCCCGCGGUGCAUUAGCUAGUUGGUAAGGUAAUGGCUUACCAAGGCGAUGAUGCAUAGCCGAGUUGAGAGACUGAUCGGCCACAAUGGGACUGAGACACGGCCCAUACUCCUACGGGAGGCAGCAGUAGGGAAUCUUCCACAAUGGGCGAAAGCCUGAUGGAGCAACGCCGCGUGUGUGAUGAAGGGUUUCGGCUCGUAAAACACUGUUGUAAGAGAAGAAUGACAUUGAGAGUAACUGUUCAAUGUGUGACGGUAUCUUACCAGAAAGGAACGGCUAAAUACGUGCCAGCAGCCGCGGUAAUACGUAUGUUCCAAGCGUUAUCCGGAUUUAUUGGGCGUAAAGCGAGCGCAGACGGUUAUUUAAGUCUGAAGUGAAAGCCCUCAGCUCAACUGAGGAAUUGCUUUGGAAACUGGAUGACUUGAGUGCAGUAGAGGAAAGUGGAACUCCAUGUGUAGCGGUGAGAUGCGUAGAUAUAUGGAAGAACACCAGUGGCGAAGGCGGCUUUCUGGACUGUAACUGACGUUGAGGCUCGAAAGUGUGGGUAGCAAACAGGAUUAGAUACCCUGGUAGUCCACACCGUACACGAUGAGUGCUAGGUGUUUGAGGGUUUCCGCCCUUAAGUGCCGCAGCUAACGCAUUAAGCACUCCGCCUGGGGAGUACGACCGCAAGGUUGAGACUCAUAGGAAUUGACGGGGACCCGCACAAGCGGUGGAGCAUGUGGUUUAAUUCGAAGCAACGCGAAGAACUUACCAGGUCUUGACAUCCUUGACACUCCCGACAUGGAGCGUUCCUUCGGGGACAAGUGACAGUGGUGCAUGGUUGUCGUCAGCUCCUGUCCUGACAUGUUGGGUUAGUUCCCUCACCAACCCACCCUUAUUACAAGUGACACAAUCCCUGGGCCCCCUCUUGAAAGGCGGGGGCGACCGCACCACAGGGGGGAGAGAGU